rnacentral:lncRNA from 1 species
CGCGGCGGGGACCCGGCGGGCUGGCCCCUGCCGCCCUUGGCCGCGGAGCCUGUGCCAGAGAAGGCGGGGGCGCGGGCACCGUAUCGCGGGGCCGCUGUGCCGCGGGGUGGCUUCCGGCCUGGGCCCGCCUCCGGGGCGAGGCUGCCCAUUGGGCUACCCGCGUCCCCAGGGCUGGUUCCAUCCCAUCCGCCUGCGCGGGGGCCGUCGUGGCUCCCGGGGCCCCAGUACCUGGGCAAGGGCCCUGGGCGCGUGGUUGGGAGUCCCCCGCCGCCCCGGGAGACGGGAGACUAAUGGGUGUUGUUGACGAGGCCAGGCACGCAGGCGGAGAAGAGCUGCCACUUGCCCCUCGCGUAAGCUGGAGGAAGGGACAAGUUGGGGUCCUGGGAAUUGAAGAGGGUAGAAUGUAUUUGGAGAUUAGGGGAACAACCUCUAUUUCUUUUUGGCUCAUAGCUUGCAACUGUCGCUGCCAAAGGGAAGUGUCCUUCGGAUUAUUUGAAACCUUAAAAAUCCAAAACAGUGUUUAAAAUGUCCCGCUCAACAUUCUUAAAAGUGAAGGAGAAGAGUUUGGGGUUGGGGGGUGGCGAUGAGAGCUAAAACAUGACACUUUUCUGCGGGACUCUUCUGUCUUGCACAUGAGGAGCCAGUUCUGGAAAGAAAAGUUCUGAGUGAUGUUGAGUCAGAAUGUCCACCCAGAAAAGCUUUAGGUGGAGAUAGUGACAGUUUUGUUUGUUCUACCAUUCUUUUUGCAGUCUCCAGGUGGACUCUGCGGUUUUUACCCCACGGCACAAAGUAGCCAGAAUACAAAAACUUCCUGUUUGCCACCCAGGCCUUCUCCAGCUACUGAGAACUUGUUCCGGUGAUGGAGCCUCAAAGGAAUUUGUGGAUUCCUCUCCCACAAGUGUCCAGGGGCAGGGGUGCUGUGAGAAUGUGCAGUUCACAAAGGGAGUGAGAAUGGCAGUCAAAAGAUGUAUAGAGUUAAGGGAAAGAAGAAAAGACUGAGUGAGCCAACGUAUUUGCUUACUAUUUCUCCUAAUAGAAAACUUUUGGUAAAGGCUUGAUAGCAACUCUAAAGAGUAAGUUACAUUUCCAUAAUUUUCCAAAGACACAGUCAUUCAGUUAACUUUAUUGAGGGCUAUAUGUUGCUAGGUGCUGGACAUACACUCAUUCAAUUGCUGUGUGACUAAAGCCAGGUCUCUACUCUGUGCUAAGAGCUCCUAGUCCAGAAGGGGAACAGUUCAUUAAAGUUCGCUAGGUUCAUAAGUAGUAAGGAUAUUCCACUCAGAAUGAACAGAUAGAAUAUCUCAUGCCUCAAAAAAGAUCAUGGUCUGUGUGUGGACAAGCAUUUUGAUUUGGCUGGGUCAAAGAGUGCUUGUGGGAAAAGCUUGUUAGUGAAAAUAAAAGCAGAAUUUUCCCCCAGCUUUACACGAUGUGAUGUUACAGCAAAAGCCAGCCAAUUUGGAGUUGAAGCUUUGCUUUGUUUGGAAUGGGGAGACAGAAAAGGAAAGCUGUACGUUAAACAUGGGUUCUUUUAGGAAAUUUAAGAACAGAAAUAGCCUGAAGGCCCAAAGGCCAAUUGCUGAUAGGAUUUAGUGGGGUAAGGAGCUUAGGGGAGAAAGAUAUUUAGUUGUUUGGUAACAUCUUCUACAGAAGAAAUAGUAUUGGGUUGAAAAGCCAGGGAAGUGUAUUCUAAUCCUCAUUCUACGAAGUUCAUAUGACCUCAGGCAAGUUAAGUUAUUUCAAUUACUUUUAUGUAAAAGGAGAUUGUAUCAAAGGUUCUAAGUCCUCUCCUGCUCAAAAAUUCCAUGAUUCCGUGAUUCUUUGGCGAACUUGAAGUCAUGGAGUUUAACUUAACAUUCACCCAACAGAAUAUUUAGGAUCUACUAACUGCUUGGGAAACUGGAGUGAAACAUGGGUCAUGCUCUUAACCAAGCUCAAUUGUGCAGUGGGGCAGCCAGAAACGUAGCCUGCAGAAUGAGAAGUGCUGUAUUAAAGAAGUAAAGAGAAUGAGAAAAGAGCAUUACUAAUCAUCAAUUAACUAAUAAUGGAACUAUUAAUUCAGGUUGGAAUUGUGGGGCAUGAGGUAAAGGUCAAAGAAGGAAACAUUAGAUUGGUCCUGGAGAGAGCACUAGGGCCAGUGAUAAUGUAGAUAAUAUAGAUAAUGCUCUUGGCAAAAUACCUGGAAUUUGGGUGUUCAACAAAUAAUACCUAUUGUUAAAGUCACCGUAAAGAUAAUGAAUGGCUCCAUAAGGUUAGGGGCAGUAGUGCCCUGCCCCUACAAUGUGAGGUGCCUGGCUGCCUUCAUUCAGCUGACUCAAGGGGUUGCUCAAAUGAUUUCAGCUCACAGCUCCUCUCCCAGGUGACUUGGCAUCACCUCCACCAGAAGUAACUUGUAAGGUGUAAAUUGUUUCUAAUGUUUAGUUCUUCCUUGUGUGACAACCUGUUUUGUAAUUAUUUUUUCUCUCUUGUUUUUGCUAUGUCAAUCCUUGAAAUUAAGGAUCAUGUUUCACAGGCACUCUUGGAAGCAUACAAAUUUGACCUAAUGCAAUUAUUUCAUAAAAUAUAAAAAGGGCCCUUUUCCCAUAAGGUCCCUCAGAAUAGUUCCACAAGCAGACACCAGCUACCACAAAGAAGAUUGUUUCCUCUCAGUCUCUUUUAUUUUCUCUUGUUGGUGUGGGGUCCUGCCAGCCUCUCACAACCCUGAGAAGGGCAGUGGUAAGAGGGAAGAUGCCGAAUCCAAUUGCAGUAUUACAAUGAUUAUCUCUUAUCCCCUUAUCCACCAAAUGUUGUGACAAAAAGAGGCCUGCCUAAGGGCAAAUAAGGCAGACCCCAGAAUCCUUUGCACCUCCCUAGUUUGGGAGAUGCUUUUUCCUGCGCCUUUCAAUGAGUCUCAGUGUUAUCUGUGUACAUAACUGUGAGUAUGUAUAACUAAGAAUUUCACAGGAUCUAUCACUGAGUUACCUAAGAAGUUUCUGAAUUGAAUGAUUAUGUAAGCUGGGGUAUAGACCUCUACUUAUCCACCAUGACCAGCAGCAUCCCUCACAUGUAAAAAAUGUAGAAUAAAUAUGAAUUUAUUUUGUUGAUUUUAAGGUACUUUGUUUCCUUCCAGUCAAUAACUUUUCUAAGAGUCCCUUCAUUUUUACUGGCUGUUUCUGAUGCUUUCCAGUUACUUGUAUCCUCAGUUCUCUGGCUAAGAAAUUUUCUUUCUCUACCCAUAAAGACUGGAUUGGUUUACUAGGAAGGUAUUUCUUGGCUCAGCCUUAGUUUACACAGCCUUGUUUGUCAUUGUUAGUCCCAGUGUCUUUGGACCCCCAGAAUCCAAUGUGCCGCUUGACAUCUGGGUGCACUUCCACUGCAUCCUGAGGGGAAAACCUGCUGUGUCCUACACCAAGGGCUGGGCCCUGGAGUUGGAAAGGUGCAUAAGCCUUGGUUUGACGUCAGAUAACUCAGUGAUUAUUUUCUGUAUUUCUCUUUUGAGAUAACUCUCAGGGAAGGUAUAUACCAAAAAAGGCUCAUGUCAUGGUAAGGAGCCUGUACACAUGAAACAAAACCGUGAGCACCUUAGUAUGUCAAAAGGCAAAAAUUUUUAAAGAAAUAUUUAACAUUAUAACAAAAAUGUAGUCUUGCUAGUUAUCCAGAAAGGAAAGUUGAAAUGAAAUAUCUAUCAAAAUAACAAAAACAAUUUUUAGUUAUUAUAAUAAUUCCUGGCAAAUUGUUUUUUAAAAAAUCCCUUUGUCCAUUUCUAGUAGGAAUGAAAAUUGGUACAUGUUUCGAAAAGGAAUUUGGAAAUUUUUUUCAGGAGCCUUAAAUGUGGCCAUACCCUUUGACCAGAUUUCUCCAUUUCAAAAGAAAUGUACUUCAAGGAAACAUUCUAAAAGUGAGAAAAAUGAUACUGAAAAACUGGAAAUGUCCAACAAUAUGCAAAUGAUUACACAUACUGAUUCACCCACAUAAUUAAAUUUGCCAUUAUUAAAAUAACAGUUGUGAAAAGCAAGCUAAAAUACAAAAACAGAUUAUUAUAAAAUACACUUAAGGUAGAAGUUUGUCUAUUUUAGUUACUGGGAAAUCAGAGCCUGCCUCAAUACCUCUCAAGGUACCGAGCACAAAGUAAAUCAUCUAUAAAUAUUUGUUGAAUGAAUAUGCAUCAUAUUUUUACAAUAAGCAAAACAAAAAUGUCUGAAAACAAAAGGUUGACCAGUACCUAGAUUUUAGAGUGACUAUGAAUAUGAACAACUUUAUUUUCUUUUUACUAUAUUCAGUGUUUUUCUAGUUUAAUGAGCAGGUACUACUUUUAUGAGGGGAAAAAAGAUGUGAAUAAAUGCAGGGGUGUAGAUUUGGCAAAAAUAAAUGCUGUUUUGUUUUAACAGUUUUUUAAAAUAAGUUCUUACAUAAAUUAAAAGAAAUGAUGAAAGUUCAAGCAAACUGUUUUAGAAUUUGUCAGGACUUUAAAUUUGAUGUAAGAAAAAAUAGGGAAACCAAUUUUAAAUACUGAAAAAAGUCACGUGAAGAGACUACACAUUAAAUAAAACAAUAAGCUCUGGCUCAAGGACAGAUAGAUCACUGAAAAAAAGUAACCAAGAAUUAGAUCAUUUAAUUAUGUAACAGAUGAGAUUUUACCUAAAACAUACAGAAAAGAAGUAUUAUGCAAUAAAUGACUGAGAUAACUAGUUACCAAUAUGGAAAAGGUCACUUAAAAUCAUGCCUUAUUUCGUACAUCAACAUAAUUACAAGUGAAUUCAAGAGUUAACAUUUUUAAAAGUCACUACUUAAGAAAAUUAGAAUAAUUUGAGUACAUGAUGCAGAGAUAGAGAGUUAGGAUAUACUAUGCUAAAAAGCAACAACAACACAAAAAAUUACAGGAAACAACGCAUUUGACCAGAUACAAAAAUUGAAGCCUCAAUAUGCCUUCCUAAAGGAACCAUGUACAUGUAGCAAGUUGAAACAACAGGCUAGAUAAAAUGGUUUGUAUAAUACUAUGAAUAAUGAUUAGUAUAUAUCACAUAUAAUUCUGAAUAGGCUUAUAAAAAUAUCAAAAUAGUUAAAGAACAUGUUAGAAAUUCGAAGUUAUUAAGCUGCAUGUAAAAAUAUUUAUCUUUGCCUUUAAAAAUGUAAGAAAUAUAUAUUAAAAUGAGGUGCAACAUUCUUGCCCUCAAAAUUUGCAAAUCUAAAAACCGUAAUGCCAAAUACCUGGAGGAGUAUUAUGAGAAGGGCACUUUCCUAUAUUGCUGAUGGCAUUGUAAAUUGAUAUAACCUUUUUGGGAAGCAAUUUGGCAAUGUGUUACAAGAAUCAUAAAAAUGUUCAUACUCUUUUAACCUAGUAAUUCUACUUCUGGGAAUCUAUCCUAAGGAAAUAAUCCAAAAUAUUUUUUAAAUGCUAUAUGCCUGACAGUGUUUAUCCCAGUAUAAUUUAUACUAUAUAAAAAUGGAAACCACUCAAACUGUCCAACAUAAGGACUAUGCUUGGUAAAUUAUGGUUCAUUCACUCGAUAGAAUAUGAUACAUGAAUAUAAAAUGGUGAGUAUUAUACCUAACAGUUUAUCAAUUCCUCCUUGUCAGAAAAUCCUUUUCUAUGAAAUCAGCUCAUGUCCUGCUUAGUUAAAAAGACUAACAAAAGUGUCAUACAUCAUUUUUUAACUUAUAUUUUUACUUAACAUUGUCACUUAAAUUUUUCUGAGAUGUCUUAUAGCAUCUUCUGUAAAAUCAGGUUAAAUGUAUCCUUUCUGCUUCAGAAAACAAAGUUGUAUCCAUGAUGGAUGAAAAAUGUAUAAUAGAGAUUUGGAAGAAAUAUGCAAACAAUUAUUUUGGAAUAAGUAGCCUGAUUGCUUGUGAUUCUGGCUACCUCUUCCAUACUGCAUAAAUGGUUAUCUAAUUAGAAAAGACUCAAUAAGGAGUAGUGUGCUUUCUUUUGGGGCUGCAAAUAAAGUAGUUUAAUUUGAUAUGAUAAUCAGGCUUAUGUGCCAGUUGAACAUCUAUAUAACUAAAGUAGUAAAACAAAAUAUUUUUACAGAAUGUUUCUGUUUCAAGAGUAAGACUUUUAGUUUUAUUCAGGUCCAUUUUAAAGGCUCAUUAUAAUUUAUAAAGAUCUCAAAAAUCUUUUAUGCCUAGUAAAAUAUCAAAGUGUAUAUGAUUUUAACUUCUCUGGAUUAUAAUAUCCCAAAAUAACUCAGACAAAGUAAAUAUCCCAGAGUAAUGUGAAUGAGUUAAAAAAACAGUGAUACAGAAUUUUCAAAAAGAAUAUAUGUUCUGUGUGGUAGAGGUAAGGAACAUCUCCAACUUAGAUUCAUAAAGGAAUGACCACUUAGUAUCAGUACUAAUAAUCCAGAAAAGGAUGUUGAGGUACUAGACUUUUUCUACCGAUGAAAUUAAGGAUUAGAGACAAUAAAUCACUUUCCUAAAGUCUUAAAGGUAGCUCUUGACAGAACUGUGCAAAGCACUUUGGAAUUCUAUGCCCAUUCUGCUAUGCUGUCCUAUCUACCAGGGCACAGAGUCCAGUCUCCCAAGUCACCAGCUCCUGUAGAGAUUGUCAAAAGACUGUCAUCAGAAAGUUAUUAUAACUUUAACAGUCUUUUUGCAUCUUUGUUCAUAAACAUGAAAGAGACCUUCUCUAAUAUGGUAGUAUAAGUUCAGUAAUCCUGUAAUAAUCAUUCUCUAUAUAAUCAUCCUAUAUAUUCUUGAUAAGACUUAUCACAAUUUAUAAGUAAAUAUUUAUUUGUGUGAUUAUUUCUGCAAUAUUUUUCUCCCCCUACUAGAAGGAGGGAAGGUCCCAUAUCCAUUUUUUGUGCCUAAGACAGUAUAUUGGCAUACGUGGCAUAUAAUAUUUAGUAAAAUAAUUCUUGAAUGAGACCAAGUUACCUUCAUUCACACUCAGAGAGAGCCAACUGAAGGAAAUGUUAUGGAAUAAUAACAACAAGAAAAAUUAUCUUUUCACACUGCCUAAUAUAUUUAUGGAGCCAGUUUCAUUAAAGACAGCAUAGGCCAAGCAUACAGGAAUUGAAAGGUAUUUAGAGAAAUUAAAGGACAGUAGUUUCAUACAGUGAAAUAAAUUAAAGAUGUUUGGUAUAUGACUCUAACCUCUGAGAUAAAUGUCAGGGAGAACAAUGACCACAUUUUCUCACCCAAUUUCUAAUAAGAUCAUGAUCAGAGAAUGAGUACUGGACUGUAGACUUACGCUAUUUUCUAAAAGUGUAGCAGAGCAGCACAGUUUUUCUAACCUGCUUAAUAAAAUGUCUGCGUAGAAGAGAUCAAGUUCUGUGUUCUAUAAAGCUAAAGUCUGGCAGUUAAGAUUAAAAUCAAUCACCUCAAUCAAUCUCAGACUCAUUGGCAGAGCAAUUUAAAAGAACUGAUGGAAAAUAAAACUGUUAUACAUUUGGUCCAACUUUCUCUACUACUUUAUCAAAACAUCGUGGUCAUUGACCCAGAAACCCAGCAUCUUAAGUUUAAGUCCUAGUUAAAAUGCUUCAGCCUUCUAGAUGCCAGUUUCUUUAUCAGUAAAAUGAAGAGUCUGAAAGUCCUUUCCAAUUCUGGAAUCCCUAUGAUUUAUGCUCUUGUUUAAAUAAAUAAUGUUGAACACACUGAAUUAACUAACAUGGUUGUUAGCAUCUUUAAAAACAGAAACAGCAACAACAAAACUAACAGUGCUUAAAGGCACCACUUAUGCCAGUGAUGAUUUAAGUCCAUAUGUAUCCACAUGAGUCGAUUAACUGUUAAAAUUCAAUUUAGCUUUUAAAAAUUAGAAUGUCUUUCUUAUGUAAAGGAUACCAUAACCAGCGCCACCUUUUCCCCAUUAUUUUGGCUAUAUGAGCAUAUGUGUAUCCAAACCAGCUGUCAAUUUAAAUGGGAAAAAAUACAUCAGCAAUUCAAGUUGUUUAGAAUUGAGUAAAAAAUAAUUGAUGUCAUUUUUCAUUUUUAAUAAGGUUGUUUCUAUCAUGUGAGAUUUCAACUUUCUGGUUAGAUUAAUUCUAAACUUAAUUUUUUUCUUGUUCUUAGAAGAAUUUCUUAAAAAACAAAGUUAUUACUACCUUAUGGCUACUCUUGCUAUACACACAAAAAGUCCCAUAAAACUGAACUUAGGAAAUACAAUUACAUGCAUAUCUGAGACUUUAUUUGUUCAUAUAAUAAAUAUAUAAAGUCCUUUUAAAGGACUUUGUAUAGUACAAAGGCUCUAGAGUGAUAUGUGCCAAACAAAAUAGGAUGGCAUCUCUGCUCUAAAGGAUUUAUAAUCUAGGAGGAUAGUUUAAGAGGGAUGGCCUCAAGGUCUAAAAACAGGAACUUCCUACCUAAAAGACAAUGGCUGAAUUUCACUUACCUAUUCUUUAGGUAAUAAGUAGCCCCUUGGAAUUGUUUUGCUACCUUCAAAUGCAUUAGAGAGUAGGCCAGAGCAUAUGAAAGGUAGAUUUAUAUACUGACUCAGCAAACAAAUAUUGAGUACCUAUUCAACAAAUGAAAAAACUGUGUUUUGUAAUAUCUAGUCCUGCAGAGAGAAAACUGUAUUUUUGAAUAUAGGUGACAUGUCCAUCAACACACACAUGAGCACACGCAUGCAUGCACACAGAGCAGUCUCUGAAGAAAUAGGGACUAGUUGAGUAGAUAGAAAACAAGUUCUAAGGAUAAUUAUAUGGUGGUUAAAUAGCAGCAGUUUAAUUAUUUUCACAUUGUGGUAGGUUAUCUUUUUUUAAAAAAAUAGAAUUCAGAAUUCAACCUUUCAGCUGGGAUACUUCAGAUGUUGGACUCUCUCACUCACUUGCUACCAUCACAGUUGUAUCCCCAGUUCCUAGCACCCUGUUGGAGCUUAGUAAACAUUUGUUGAAUAAAUAUAGCAAACAAGUCUGUAGCAGUUACUGUUUUUUAUGCUGUCUGUUAUAUACAUUGACUUAGGUAAUACCCGCAAUAACCCCAAUUAUUAUAUGUUAAUAAAUACAAAUGAAGAAACUGAGGCACAGAGAAAGAAAGCAACAUACCCGAGGUCACAUUACAUGACUAGUAAAUGUUGGACUGUGCCCCAAAACACAUGCUCUUGGCUGCUGUGCGCUGCCAUUUCUGAAGAAAAAAGUGGCAUUCCAAGUGAAGAGAUGAGAAAGAGGAGAAGAAAUUAACAGCAUCAUUGGCCCCACAGUGGCAUGAAAGGAUUGAGAUGUCUAGGACAGCCUGGAGAUGUUGACAGCCAGUGAAGAGUGGGGAAGUGCUGUGGUUUCAGGCAUCCCCAGGAGGUUGCUUUUGGACAGCCUUUGGAUAGUGGGAUUGACAGUGACUGUCCAAUGAGGAAGAAAUGUGUUUAAAGAAGCUCCUGUAAAAAUCAGAAACAAUUUGUGGUCUUCCCGGGCAAUUUUUCUUCUACCAAACUCUCUCUAGUUCAUUCUCUUUAUGACAUUUCCUUUCUUUGUCCCUUUCCUCUACUAUCCCAUUUAGGCGAUUAUAAUGUUGAGCUAAAUUUUAAAAUAUUUAUUAAAUCAAAUGUCUAUAUCGUCACACACUCCACUUACAUUAGAAGAAAACAACUGAAGUAACUUAAAAAUGAUUUCUUAUUGGUGAGGAACAUGGAGGUCAGUGACUCUUAACAGAAGAGUAGUGUCCCCAAGUGGACUAUAAAAAGUAAGAGAUUAUGAAAAAUAAAUCUUGGUACUCUGUCACUUCAAUAUUAGAAGAUAUGGCCAAAUCUUAAAUACAAAGCAUUUCCUAUUAAAAUUUAACAAUUUAUUUUACAUUUUUUUAAAUCCACCAUUUAGAUUUAGGAACAUUGAUUAGACCCUUCACUUUAUAACGGGAACAAGAAGUUCAUGUGUGCCUAAUGUAGGCUGAGGGAUAGUUUAUAGAAUGCUGAAAUCUCUGAGUUUCUGUAAAGAACACUAAAUCACUGAUAAGCUGUUAUUUGUGCAUUUAACUGUGAGUAUAUAAAAAUAAUUGUUAGUUAUUUAAAGGAGUUGUCUGGGGAAAAUUCCCAGUAUCACCAGGCAUCUGUGUCUACUGUGGCACAAAUAGUGUUUGGACUAAUGACUUAAUCUGAGUGUACUUACUCUAAUCGAACAGAGUGCAAAUAUAUAUAUAAUAUGUAUACACAUACGUAUAUACAUAUAAGUGUGUGUGUGCACAGAUGGUCAGUUUGCUACAGGAACAAGCACUUGUUUGUUAAAGACACUACAAAUGAGGACUGACACUGCAGCAAUCUCAACCACAUAACUUGACAAACACAUGUAACUUGAGUACUGCAAAUAUUAAGUAAGUUAAAACCAAUAUCGGGGACUGACAUCAGGAGCACAUGCACAGGCUCUGUAUUGCCUAGCUACAAUGUGUUUUAAUGUGGUAUGUGCAAUGUAAAAUCCAGACAACAGGGAUCCCAGUUUAAAGAGAUUGAUUUGGGGUGAGGAAAGGUGAUAUGGUAUUCAUCUCUGUACAGCUUCUUAAAACUGAUUUACUGCAGUGGCUUGUGGAAGUAACAGAUGUUUAUUUGAAUGAAUAUUCAUUUGCUGACAUCAAGUCCCAGUAGAUGACACUUUCCUCUUAAGAGGUCAUAUUUUCCUCUUACAGAGUAUUUGCUAUUGUAGUUGCCAAUUGUCUAUUUAGAAGGCAUAAUAUUAAAGGAGCUAGGUAAAGUGGAGUAUUGAUGUAUAAUCUGAACCAGAGGUAAAUGUGCUAGUUAGAAACUGCAAUAAUGCUACAUAUAAACAUCAUAGUGAGUUACCUUAACUUUCUUGACAGCAUCAUGACAGCUUCUCAUCAACCAAUCAUGAAUUUUCUUUUAAAUUACCUUAUUAGUAUACCACUUGAGCUGGAAAGAUAUUUAUUUAAGAACAUUACCAAGGAGUCAAGUGACUUUAAAUAACCACAGAAACCAAAUAAGGAAUUUUAUUGUAAAGAAGCUUUACAGAUUAUAAAGUUACAUGUGAAUAGAAAGUAUUAUUUGGGGGCAUCUCUACCACUUGUUAUACAAAAUCUUACUUUCUUCUAUGUAUAUUUUUCAAGAAAACAGUAAUAUCAGAAGUACAGAUAGCCUGUUACUGUCUGUUUGUUUCAUAAGUUCAUGCAUUGGGGCCAGCUUAUCAUACCUAAAGUUACUUUGGCUCUGUAAAAGAUUAUUUUGGCAGAAGUUUUAUUAGUGUAUCAAAUUGUCUUUUAAGAAACUUGGCCAGGAUUGCUGCCCAAGAUGGCAAGUUAUAAAUUUUAAACCUUUUUACUACACACUCCCACGUACACCCCCAAGACAGUAGUAGUAGUGGAUUUUAUGGUGGUAUGAUCCAAACACAAAUUGUUAUAUAAUUCUAAAAACAAAUAAGAUAAUUUUAGGAGCAAAGUUAUAAUCAGAUAAGGAUCUGGUUAUAUUUUUUGGUUCAUGAAAUGCCUAGUGUAUUUGGCAACAUAACUAAGUCUCCAUUAUCUAUGGUGUUAUAAGAACAUAUAUAAUAUACACAAAGAAAUCUGUAGCUAAUUCAAAAGUAUCACUGUUAAGCUAUUUGAGUCAGCCUUCCUUCUCAAACUGACAGAUGUGUUUUUGAUUAUCUAACUCUUCAUAUUAGUGGUUGUCAACUUUGGCUACACAUUAGAAUCAUCUGGGGAUGAUUGAGGAGCUUUUAAAAAUCCUGAUGCACAGGCCAUACUCCCAAUCAAUUAAAUCAUAAGCUCUGGGGUGAGACCCCAGCAUUAAUAUUUUUUUAAGCUCUCCUAGGUGAUUCCAAUGUAUGGUCAAGGUUGAGAAUCAUUGCUUUAUGUAACUUAGUGGUAGGAAUGUGAAGAAUCAGUACUGUGGAAAAAUGGUAAGAAAAUAAUAUCUACUCGCUAAAUUAAAGAAUGAACAUUAGUGACUGUUCAAAUUGCCAUAGACCAGUGAUGUAUAGAAAGAGAUUAUUAGGCUGUUUUUUUUCUGAUUUAUUGAAACAUCCUAACUUCAGUUCCAUCUAUUGCAUGAAAGAAUAAAUUUACAAAUUAUAGAAAUGUGAUCUGAAGUACACCAGUAAAUCACUUGCCCCUGUAUUUUAAUGUAUGAUAACUAUUUUUUCCUAUAGAUUUCCUCUGUGGUCAUAUAAGAACUAUUUUUAAUUUGUUUAAUCAUUUUUCAAAAAAGUGGUUUUGAUGUAUAAUAUACACAUUAUUGUGUAGUCAUGAGGCAGAAUGAAUAAUUUUCAAAUGGGUAAUUGGAGGUGACAGGUGUCCUUGGGAAAUUGAUUUUUAAGUCAUUCUCAAUUUAGGGAAAAAAGAUAAAUCUAUGCUUUCUACUAUUAUUCCUUAAUUAUAUUCAUUUUCAUAAAGUAUGUUUUCCUGAGGUAUCUUAGAGUUAUCCAGUAAGAAAAGUGAGUUAUAGUAGAGAUACAAAAAUUCCCUCCAACUUUAAUGUAAUUUCAGUAAGUUGGAAGCAGUUAUUUAUUUGAUUAGAUAUAAUCAAUGUAGAAUAUAGAAGACUGUCUAGUACACUGAUUAGACUCAAACAAACCAGGACUCAAAACCUAGCUCUGCCCCCUCCUAGCAUGUUUCCUGGAGCACAUCACUUACCUAGUCUAGAGUUUCACUUUUUUCAUUUAUAAAAGGAUUAUAUUUACAUCGUCUGUGUAAGGUUGUUAGUUGUGGGAGAUUAAAUGGGGGAAAUGUUGACAGAAUUCUUACCAUAGUGCCUGGCAUGUAGUAAGCCCUGAAUAAAUGGUAGCGAUUUUUAGUUAUUCAAACAGAUUUUUUGAAAACCUGCUUUUUUUUUCUCCCUGGGAAUAUAUGUCUAUUUUCUGUAACUACCCAUGGUAGACCUUUGCUAUUUAUUAGGCUAUAGGAAAUCUUUGCAUAUACUUAAAUUUAGGCAUCAGAUGGCAAGGAGAGUGUCUGUUUCUGCACGAGUGUGCACUCAUAGCUGUGCGAGUUGAGUGCAUAAUCCACCAGGCUUAUUCACUAACUGAGGAACCCUGUCCUGUGCACCAAACAGGAAACAUGUGCAAUGUGUUUCCCAGCAAAGCAGAAAUCACCUCCCAUCCAGAACCAUCUCAGUUACUACCAAAGAGUGGGAAUCAAGAAUCAACAUAAUCUAACAGUCUCCGUAAUAUAUAAUGUCAUUGAUUCUAACAUGCACAUUUUAACUUCUCUCAAAUAAAAAUAUACCUUCCAAUCAAUGAUGUCUUAAAUCACUCUCAGCCAGGCAGCAUUGGUGAUAUAGUUGUCAUUGCCUGUGACUGCAUGAACUUGGCCGUAGCUCUUCAUAUUGCUAUGAUGUAUGAUAAAAAUAUAAGUCCAAUUAAGCUGAAGAAAAUUAUUUCAAUAAACAUAAAGUAACAAUUCUAAGUAGUAAAAAAAAAUCAUCGUAGUUUAACUGGCAGUGACUUUUCUUCCAUAGUAG